rnacentral:misc_RNA from 1 species
GCUUACUGCGGCGUGGGCUACCAGGGAAUGCAGAAGAACCCUGGCGCCAAAACUAUCGAAGGUGAUCUCGAAGAAGCUCUAUUUCACUCUGGUGCCGUCCCGGAACAAGACCGGGGCAACCCCAAGCGGUAUGACUGGGCUCGCUCGGCUCGUACUGAUAAGGGCGUGAGCGCCGUGGGACAGGUGGUCUCCGGCCGCUUCUACAUUGACCCACCUGGGCUGGUUGAACGCUUAAAUUCGAAUCUUGCGUCACAGAUUAGAAUCUUCGGUUACAAGCGAGUGACGGCGUCGUUUAAUGCCAAGAAGUUUUGUGAUCGUAGGAGGUAUGUGUAUCUGAUUCCUGUUUUUGCUCUUGAUCCAUGUUCGCAUCCUGANUGUGUUGGCUAGUUUGGGGUCUGAUAAUGAGCUUGUUAAGUGCUUAGAGUGUUCAGAGAGAGGGCGUAAGGUUGUUGGCGCAGUGGGUAAACGAAGUUUUGAAUUAAAAUCUGUGGUUUCUCAAACAGACAUUUCAUCGAAUGGUGAUGACCGUGUUGUGAAACCUGAAAUUAUGGACGAUAUUAGUAUGUCUACGGAUAAUGCUGAUUGUGAUAAUACAAACGCUGAAUUCUUAAAAGAAGCUAAGGUCCCUGGAAAUGUGGAUGCUGAAACACGGUGUGCAAUACCUGAAUCUGGCAUUUUGUCGAAUGAUUUAGAUGCUAAAACGGAGCCUGAUAGUAGAGAAGAGAUUAUGGAGUCUGUGGACAAUAACAAUAAUGGGAAUACAGAAACGGAAAUUAUUGAAAAGGAUCAGAAGGUUAUUGUCAGUGAAGAGAAAGUUAACGGAGACAAGCAAGUUAUGAUAGGAAGUGGGUUUUGUUAUGGAGAGAAUGAGAAAGAGAGAUUCAAUCGAAUAUUGAAGUAUUAUGUGGGGAGUCACAACUUUCAUAAUUUUACCACAAGAACUAAGGCUGAAGACCCUUCUGCUCGGCGGUACAUUAUUUCCUUCGAUGCAAAGACC